rnacentral:ncRNA from 1 species
AGGUGCACUUAACCGUGCUUAAUUGAGAAUGUGAGUGAGAAUCUCCGACUGUCCCGCAGCAGUGAACUCCAUUAUGGCCCGAAGCAAGAUGCCAUUGCCCAUUUGGACGAGAAGGCGCUUCGAGGUGGAGGAAAGUCUGAAGACCAGCCUUUGUCG